CUCAGCGUGUUUGUUUGUCUCUAAUACCUGUUCCCUUAUUGCAGAUUUCAAAUAAGAUGAUAGACUGGGAGUGCAGGGUGUAAAAAGAUUCAUCGUUCAAGACUCCACCUCCUCAGACACCACAGACUAGAACAUAGACACUGCUCAAAAAUAAGUCCACUUCCAUCUUGAAGAUUCUGAAGUGCACAUUGAGAAAGAGCCACUGGAGCAAUAUACGGUUGUGCGUUACAGCUCUAAUGGCCAAAUGCAUAGUGACCCAGUGAAUGUCUCUGUUGUUCUUGAGGACGAAUUGGUCACCACCCACAACCAACUUCCAGAGGCGUUUCUUGUCCUGUUUGGAUUCCUGUAUGCUUUUCACAUACAUAUUCCUAAAGGACUUGCAAAAACAUUUGUAUUUGUGCAAAAAACUUUUGCUUGGCAUGGAAGAUGGGAAAUUGUCUCCUAGCCUGCAAACCUUAAAGAACGAGUUGAUGUGAAGCAUAACUUGUACUACCUCAGCACACACAAAAGACAAAAAGAGUUACUUAAAUGUUAUCUAACUGAUGUUACUUUGAUUUUUUUACUUGUAUCUACUUAGUUCUUAUUGACAAGUUAUUGUAUUAACAAACCGGUUCAGUUUAAGAAAUUGUCAUGUUUAAUGCAACUGUGUGGUGUUAAUAUAUGAAGUUGGCUGUUAAGCAUUCCUUGCUCAUUUCUCAUUUUAUAAAAUGCUGUUAAACAGUUUGAGCCUGUUAAAAGGUAUGGUGUUUUGCUAAGAGAAUUUAAUUUUUGACUGGAAAAUAUGAAAUGCU